GACGAACGCUGGCGGCGUGCCUAAUACAUGCAAGUAGAACGCUGAAGAGAGGAGCUUGCUCUUCUUGGAUGAGUUGCGAACGGGUGAGUAACGCGUAGGUAACCUGCCUUGUAGCGGGGGAUAACUAUUGGAAACGAUAGCUAAUACCGCAUAACAAUGGAUGACACAUGUCAUUUAUUUGAAAGGGGCAAUUGCUCCACUACAAGAUGGACCUGCGUUGUAUUAGCUAGUAGGUGAGGUAACGGCUCACCUAGGCGACGAUACAUAGCCGACCUGAGAGGGUGAUCGGCCACACUGGGACUGAGACACGGCCCAGACUCCUACGGGAGGCAGCAGUAGGGAAUCUUCGGCAAUGGGGGCAACCCUGACCGAGCAACGCCGCGUGAGUGAAGAAGGUUUUCGGAUCGUAAAGCUCUGUUGUAAGUCAAGAACGAGUGUGAGAGUGGAAAAUUCACACUGUGACGGUAGCUUACCAGAAAGGGACGGCUAACUACGUGCCAGCAGCCGCGGUAAUACGUAGGUCCCGAGCGUUGUCCGGAUUUAUUGGGCGUAAAGCGAGCGCAGGCGGUUUGAUAAGUCUGAAGUUAAGGCUGUGGCUCAACCAUAGUUCGCUUUGGAAACUGUCAAACUUGAGUGCAGAAGGGGAGAGUGGAAUUCCAUGUGUAGCGGUGAAAUGCGUAGAUAUAUGGAGGAACACCGGUGGCGAAAGCGGCUCUCUGGUCUGUAACUGACGCUGAGGCUCGAAAGCGUGGGGAGCGAACAGGAUUAGAUACCCUGGUAGUCCACGCCGUAAACGAUGAGUGCUAGGUGUUGGAUCCUUUCCGGGAUUCAGUGCCGCAGCUAACGCAUUAAGCACUCCGCCUGGGGAGUACGACCGCAAGGUUGAAACUCAAAGGAAUUGACGGGGGCCCGCACAAGCGGUGGAGCAUGUGGUUUAAUUCGAAGCAACGCGAAGAACCUUACCAGGUCUUGACAUCCCGAUGCUAUUUCUAGAGAUAGAAAGUUACUUCGGUACAUCGGUGACAGGUGGUGCGUGGUUGUCGUCAGCUCGUGUCGUGAGAUGUUGGGUUAAGUCCCGCAACGAGCGCAACCCCUAUUGUUAGUUGCCAUCAUUCAGUUGGGCACUCUAGCGAGACUGCCGGUAAUAAACCGGAGGAAGGUGGGGAUGACGUCAAAUCAUCAUGCCCCUUAUGACCUGGGCUACACACGUGCUACAAUGGUUGGUACAACGAGUUGCGAGUCGGUGACGGCAAGCUAAUCUCUUAAAGCCAAUCUCAGUUCGGAUUGUAGGCUGCAACUCGCCUACAUGAAGUCGGAAUCGCUAGUAAUCGCGGAUCAGCACGCCGCGGUGAAUACGUUCCCGGGCCU
rnacentral:rRNA from 1 species